GACGAACGCUGGCGGCGUGCUUAACACAUGCAAGUCGAACGGAAAGGCCCUGCUUUUUUGGGGUGCUCGAGUGGCGAACGGGUGAGUAACACGUGAGUAACCUGCCCUUGACUUUGGGAUAACUUCAGGAAACUGGGGCUAAUACCGGAUAGGAGCUCCUGCUGCAUGGUGGGGGUUGGAAAGUUUCGGCGGUUGGGGAUGGAAUCGCGGCUUAUCAGCUUGUUGGUUGGGUAGUGGCUUACCAAGGCUUUGACGGGUAGCCGGCCUGAGAGGGUGACCGGACACAUUGGGACGGAGAUACGGCACAGACUACAACGGUAGGCAGCGGUGGAGAAGAUAGCACAAUGGGAGGAAGGAAGAUGCAACAAAGCAGCGUGGGGGAAGACGGCAUUCGGGUAGUAAACCGAAGCCGCCUGAGACGAAGCGAGAGUGACGGUAAUGGGUAAAGAAGCACCGGCUAACUACGUG
rnacentral:rRNA from 1 species